AUCGAACGCUGGCGGCAGGCCUAACACAUGCAAGUCGAGCGAGCGGCGGACGGGUGAGUAAUGUAUGGGGACUGCCCGAUAGAGGGGGAUAACUACUGGAAACGGUAGCUAAUACCGCAUACUAUCCGAUAACCCAUGUGGGAUUAGCUAGUAGGUGAGGUAAUGGCUCACAAAGGCAACGAUCCGUAGCGGGUUGGAGAGGAAGACCAGCAACACUGGGACUGAGAAACGGCCCAGACUCCUACGGAGGCAGCAGUGGGGAAUUUUGGACAAUGGGGGAAACCCUGAUCCAGCCAGCCCGCGUGUAUGAUGAAGGCCUUCGGGUUGUAAAGUACUUUUGGCAGGGAGGCGGUAUCUGCAGAAUAAGCACCGGCUAACUACGUGCCAGCAGCCGCGGUAAUAC
rnacentral:rRNA from 1 species